rnacentral:rRNA from 1 species
UACGGGGGGAGCAAGCGUUGUUCGGAUUUACUGGGCGUAAAGGGCGCGUAGGCGGCCACCGCAAGUCGACUGUGAAAUCUCCGGGCUUAACCCGGAAAGGUCAGCCGAUACUGCGGGGCUAGAGUGCAGAAGGGGCAACUGGAAUUCUCGGUGUAGCGGUGAAAUGCGUAGAUAUCGAGAGGAACACCUGCGGCGAAGGCGGGUUGCUGGGCUGACACUGACGCUGAGACACGAAAGCGUGGGGAGCAAACAGG